rnacentral:tRNA from 1 species
AGAGGUUUAGGUUAACGUAUAAACUUAGGACCUUCAAAGCCCUAGACGGGAGUGGAAGUCUCCCAGCCCCUG